CAGCAGGCGCGCAAAUUACCCACUCCCGAACUGGGGAGGUAGUGACGAGAAUUAUCGGUCUUACUCUUUGAGCAAAAGACCGGAAUGGACGAAAUUCAGGUCCAUUCGUGAAAACUAGCGAGGGGCAAGUCUGGUGCCAGCAGCCGCGGUAAUUCCAGCCACGCAUGUAAAUGUAAAAUUUGUUGCAUUUAAAAAGCUCGUAGUCGGACAGUUUCACGACAUUUUGUUCAAAGCCAGCUGCAACUCGGCUAGCCAGUUACGAAGGGUUUUGAACUGGUCAAUUAGUCGUUGCAACUGGAUGAAUAGUCGUGAACAAUCACAAGUUUCGCUUAUACACUUAAUUGUGUGUAGGACUGAAAAUUUGUGGACGUACCUUGAACAAAUCGGUUUGUUCAAAACAGGCCAUAUUGAGCGCCUGGACAUUCGAGCAUGGAAUGAUCGAUCGAGACCUGAUCGUUUGGUCGGAAACCAGUAAGGUCCAGGUCAAAAGGGACAUUUGGGGGCAUACGAACUCGGCAGCGAGAGGUGAAAUUCUAAGACCUGCCGAG
rnacentral:rRNA from 1 species